GGGAAGGAUGAGAAGCUUCGACUAAGGUUCGAUUCGAGCGAAAGCGAGAAAGCGUUGCCGCAGGCAACGACCCGAAGGGCGAAGCGCGCAGCGCUGAGUAAUCCUUCCCCCACCACCA
rnacentral:sRNA from 2 species